rnacentral:rRNA from 1 species
GGGUCUGGCGGGUGCCUAAUACAUGCAAGUCGAACGCGUUGGCCCAAUUGAUUGAUGGUGCUUGCACCUGAUUGAUUUUGGUCGCCAACGAGUGGCGGACGGGUGAGUAACACGUAGGUAACCUGCCCAGAAGCGGGGGACAACAUUUGGAAACAGAUGCUAAUACCGCAUAACAGCGUUGUUCGCAUGAACAACGCUUAAAAGAUGGCUUCUCGCUAUCACUUCUGGAUGGACCUGCGGUGCAUUAGCUUGUUGGUGGGGUAACGGCCUACCAAGGCGAUGAUGCAUAGCCGAGUUGAGAGACUGAUCGGCCACAAUGGGACUGAGACACGGCCCAUACUCCUACGGGAGGCAGCAGUAGGGAAUCUUCCACAAUGGGCGCAAGCCUGAUGGAGCAACACCGCGUGAGUGAAGAAGGGUUUCGGCUCGUAAAGCUCUGUUGUUAAAGAAGAACACGUAUGAGAGUAACUGUUCAUACGUUGACGGUAUUUAACCAGAAAGUCACGGCUAACUACGUGCCAGCAGCCGCGGUAAUACGUAGGUGGCAAGCGUUAUCCGGAUUUAUUGGGCGUAAAGAGAGUGCAGGCGGUUUUCUAAGUCUGAUGUGAAAGCCUUCGGCUUAACCGGAGAAGUGCAUCGGAAACUGGAUAACUUGAGUGCAGAAGAGGGUAGUGGAACUCCAUGUGUAGCGGUGGAAUGCGUAGAUAUAUGGAAGAACACCAGUGGCGAAGGCGGCUACCUGGUCUGCAACUGACGCUGAGACUCGAAAGCAUGGGUAGCGAACAGGAUUAGAUACCCUGGUAGUCCAUGCCGUAAACGAUGAGUGCUAGGUGUUGGAGGGUUUCCGCCCUUCAGUGCCGGAGCUAACGCAUUAAGCACUCCGCCUGGGGAGUACGACCGCAAGGUUGAAACUCAAAGGAAUUGAC